rnacentral:rRNA from 1 species
AUACGUAGGGGGCGAGCGUUGUCCGGAAUGACUGGGCGUAAAGGGCGUGUAGGCGGCGGUGUAAGUCUGGAGUGAAAGUCCCGCAUUCAAUGUGGGAAUUGCUUUGGAUACUGCAGUGCUAGAGUGUCGGAGAGGUAAGUGGAAUUCCUAGUGUAGCGGUGAAAUGCGUAGAUAUUAGGAGGAGCACCAGUGGCGAAGGCGGCUUACUGGACGAUUACUGACGUUGAGGCUCGAAAGCGUGGGGAGCAAACAGGAUUAGAUACCCUGGUAGUCCACGCGGUAAACGAUGAAUACUAGGUGUCGGGUGGCAACAGCCAUUCGGUGCCGCAGCAAACGCAAUAAGUAUUCCACCUGGGGAGUACGUUCGCAAGAAUGAAACUCAAAGGAAUUGACGGGG